rnacentral:rRNA from 1 species
CCUACGGGAGGCAGCAGUAGGGAAUCUUCCACAAUGGACGAAAGUCUGAUGGAGCAACGCCGCGUGAGUGAAGAAGUAUUUCGGUAUGUAAAGCUCUAUCAGCAGGGAAGAAAAUGACAGUACCUGACUAAGAAGCCCCGGCUAACUACGUGCCAGCAGCCGCGGUAAUACGUAGGGGGCAAGCGUUAUCCGGAUUUACUGGGUGGAAAGGGAGCGUAGACGGCUGCGCAAGUCAGACGUGAAAGCCCGGGGCUCAACCGCGGGACUGCUUUUGAAACUGUGUAGCUAGAGUGCAGGAGAGGUAAGUGGCAUUCCUAGUGUAGCGGUGAAAUGCGUAGAUAUUAGGAGGCACACCGGUGGCGAAGGCGGCUUACUGGACUGUAACUGACGUUGAGGCUCGAAAGCGUGGGGAGCAAACAGGAUUAGAUACCCCAGUAGUC